UGAUAUCUAACAUUGCUAAUAUAAUAUGGUCACAAGUGACCAACAGUGGCAGAUAAUUUAGCUAUGGGUGCUAUACUGUGAGAUUAGGCUAACGCAUUGCCUGAUCAGAGCAAAAUUUGGCAUUGGCUUUCCUUUCUUUUCAGGGAGGUGCCUGAGAGCCUUGACUUCUAAGUCUCUGGCCCAGGAUCCCAGCAAUGGCGGAUGGGGCAUUGAGAGUCAUGUUUUUGUGCAGCCUAGAGGGUUCCCUUCUUUUAGUAAUGUCUUCACUGGAGACUGUAGACAAGUGAGAAGCAAACCAGCCAAGAAUAGGCUAUGUAAAAAUGAAAGCUCUCUGGAAACAUAAAUGCGUACCACUAAGUGAAAGAAGCUACUCUGAAAAGGCUACAUACUACAUGAUUCCAACUAUACGGUGUCCUGGAAAAGGCAAAACUGUGGGGACAAAAAAAAAGAUCAGUGGCUUCCAGGGGUUAGGGGGCAGAGAGGGGUGAGUAGGCAGAGUGCAGAGGAAUUUUAGGGGAGUGAAAAUACUCUGUAUGAUACCAUAAUGGUGGAUACAUGUCAUUGUACAUUUGUCAAAACUCACAGAAUGUACAACACCACGAAUGAACCCCAGUGUAAGCUACGGACUUUGGAUGAUAAUGGUGUCAGUGCAAAUGUUAUUAAUUAUAAACAAAUGCACCACUGUGGUUGAGAAUGUGUAGUGUGGGAAGUUGUGCAUGUGUGGGGACUCUGUGUUCCAUAUGAUUCAAUAAUUCUACUUCUGUGUGUAUCUUCAAAAGAAUUUAAACUAAGCAGUCAAAUAGAUAUUUACACACCCAUGUUCAUGGCAGCAUUAUUCACAGUAACCAAGAGGUGGAAAUAAUUCAAGUGUCCCUCAACAGGUAUUGGAUAAACAAAAUAGAGUAUAUCCAUACAAUGAAAUACUAUUCAGCCUUAAAAGGAAAAGUAAUUCUGACGCAUACUACAACCUGGCUGAACUUUGAGGAUGUUAUGAUAAGUGAAAUAAGCAAGACACAAAAAGACAAUUACUGCAGGAUGCCUCUUCCAUGAACUACCCAGAGCUGUCAAGUUCAGAGACAGAAGCACUUUUCCUGUCCAAGUCAAAACUGGUUCUCUUCCACAUCCAAAGUGUGUGGGGACGACAAGAGACACUGGCUCAUCACCCGGCUCCCAGAGAAACACAAUGGAGGUAACCUUAAGGCGAGAGCUUCCUUUUUCCUGGCUUUGGAAAGGAGCCCAGCCAAGUGAGUGACCUGGGAGCUUAAGCUUCAACGGCUUCGUGGUAAAUGGCUGCUGCCCAAAUAAAACCUUUACCUCAAGCUACGCAUUCGAAACUGGAAGAAGGCAUUCGUUCUUGCCUAGGGAGAGCCUUCCUGGGAGGUGGCUCAUCAAACCCUCGUGUUUUUUUCCCCUCCUGCCUCCCACAGACACCUGGUAUCAGUUCCAAAAGAUGCAUUUUAGUGCCUUUAAGCAAAACUAGUUCUUCUGCCUGGGUGAACUCUGACACUGAACUUUCUGUUUCCAGCCCCCUUAAAAAACCUUCAUCAAAUUUCCACCACGCAAAGGUUGAAGUGUUUCGGUCACCGAAGCGGUUCAGUGAUGAUCGCGGUGGCUGUUUCUUACAGGGGAUACUCGUCCAUUCAUUCAUUCAUUCAUUAGUUCGUUCAUUCAACAGACACGUAGCAAGUUCUGCAGUGUGACAGACAUUGCGCCUGAAGGCAGAGCAAACACAGUCACCGUUGCGGCCAUCUCGGAGACUCACAUCGAAUAAAUCAUAAACAAACGUAAUCUUGCCACACUCACUUGAAUAAAAGGCACAGACCUGACCUCUAUAUUCAGCCACUAUGCAAAUACGCUGCUGGGUCAGUGUGAAGGUAUUUAAAGGCGUCCACGUGACAUUCUCCUCAGAUGGCCCCUAUCCUGUCCUUCCCUCUGCUGACGCAAAGGCCUUCUCACCCGUCAGAAGGUGAAGCCUUGUCCCUGCCUUGAAUGGGGCUGGCCUAGGAACUUGCUUUGAGCCCGAGAACGCUGUGAAGGGAUCUGUGUGAGACAGUUUGGGGCCAACGCCUUAAGAGAAAUGAUGGCCUUCCGCGACUUCCCUUUCCAAGUCAUCUGCCGCAGACAGAGCCAAAAUCCCGAGACCACAGUGCUGUGAGGAAGCCAAGCCAGCAGCGGGGAGAGGCCACACGGAGAGAGGGAUGUUCAGCCGGGUCCCAACUCUUCAGCCUUCCCAGCUGAGACGUCAGACGUGACUGAAGAAGGCCAUCUCCUCUCGGGGCAUUCUUCUCCCAGUGGACACCACGUGAAACAGGAAAACCACCCAGAGGAAACCAGCGCACAUUGCAAAAGAAGAAUAAAUGGUUAUGAGGCAUUGGACAUGGUGAUCCCCUUUUGGGACAAGCUGGCUCCCACUGUAAACGGAAGACCCUUGAUGUCCCCCAUGGUGUGUGUGACCUAGGACUGCGAGAUUUAGCAAACGGAGAAACGAAACGGAGGGAGGGGCAGCAUUGACGGCUGAGAUGAAUGAUGUCCUGGCCUCGCUGUUCCUGGAUGCAGGCCCCCGUCAACUGGGGCAACCUUGAGUGAGGCUCUGCUUCUUGCCACAUGGCACAGGGGCCAGUGAGCAGCCCGUUCCGAGUAGGAUGAUGUAUGUGGACGCGAGGAAUGCAUUUUCAUCAAUCACUUGAACUGAAGGCAUGCGUUUUUUGCUGGACUGAAAAUUGGUAUUUUUGUCUUUUUUUCAAGAGGAUUGUUGGAUCCGUGUGCUCAGAUUCAUAACUGGCAUUGCUCCCUUGUCUUGGAAACAGUGUGUGAGAGAACAUUGCGUUCUUGGAAUCAGAAACUGGUUCCCGAGUUCAGCCUUCAUCCACACAAGGUCUACAGGAAGAGGCAAAAUUUGAGAGAUGGGAAAUUGCGCCCAUGGAGUCAUCAAGGGGUCAUCACUGAGGUAGCAGAUUUAGGACCCAGGUGGAUGGGAUAAUUGCCACCUCUUCCCCCUGAACCAGCAAGUGUGCUUCCAAUUUCAUCAACAGAAAGGGGACCUGGGGAAGAAAAAUGGCUUUACCCUUAUGUAUCUUUUGGUCUGUUGCUGACCCUGCCACAGGCCUUUUGGGAUGUGAGAAUGGUCUCAGUGUGUAUGCAGCCUGCCUUUUUUUUUUUUUUUUUUUUUUUUU